rnacentral:rRNA from 1 species
CAUUCGAUACUGAAAAGCUAGAGUAUGGGAGAGGAUGUAGAUUCCCGGGUGUAGCGGUGAAAUGCGUAGAGAUCGGGAGGAAUACCGAUGGCGAAGGCAGCCAUCUGGCCUAAUACUGACGUGAGGUACGAAAGCAUGGGGGAGCAAACAGGAUUAGAUACCCUGGUAGUCCAUGCCGUAAACGAUGUCUACUAGCCGUGGGGCCUUUGAGGCUUUAGUGGCGCAGCUAACGCGAUAAGUAGACCGCCUGGGGAGUACGGUCGCAAGACUAAAACUCAAAUGAAUUGACGGGGGCCCGCACAAGCGGUGGAGCAUGUGGUUUAAUUCGAUGCAACGCGAAGAACCUUACCUGGCCUUGACAUACUAAGAACUUUCCAGAGAUGGAUUGGUGCCUUCGGGAACUUAGAUACAGGUGCUGCAUGGCUGUCGUCAGCUCGUGUCGUGAGAUGUUGGGUUAAGUCCCGCAACGAGCGCAACCCUUUUCCUUAUUUGCCAGCGGGUUAAGCCGGGAACUUUAAGGAUACUGCCAGUGACAAACUGGAGGAAGGCGGGGACGACGUCAAGUCAUCAUGGCCCUUACGGCCAGGGCUACACACGUGCUACAAUGGUCGGUACAAAGGGUUACUACCUCGCGAGAGGAUGGUAAUCUCAAAAAGCCGAUCGUAGUCCGGAUCGCAGUCUGCAACUCGACUGCGUGAAGUCGGAAUCGCUAGUAAUCGCGGAUCAGAAUGCCGCGGUGAAUACGUUCCCGGGCCUUGUACACACCGCCCGUCACACCAUGGGAGUUUGUUGCACCAGAAGUAGGUAGUCUAACCGCAAGGAGGACGCUUACCACUGUGUGGCCGAGAAGAAGUGUCUAGCCUCGCACUAACACAACCA